rnacentral:rRNA from 1 species
GAUGAACGAUGGCGGCGUGAUUAAAACAUGCAAGUCGAGCGAUGAAGCUCCUUCGGGAGUGGAUUAGCGGCGGACGGGUGAGUAACACGUGGGCAACCUGCCUUAUAGAGAGGAAUAGCCAUCCGAAAGGAUGAUUAAUACCUCAUAAUAUUGUAGUUUCGCAUGAAGCAACAAUCAAAGGAGCAAUCCACUAUAAGAUGGGCCCGCGGCGCAUUAGCUAGUUGGUGAGGUAACGGCUCACCAAGGCGACGAUGCGUAGCCGGCCUGAGAGGGUGAUCGGCCACAGUGGGACUGAGCCACAACCCAGACUCCUACGGUAGGCAGCAGGGUGGAAUAUUGCACAAUGGGGGAAACCCUGAUGCAGCAACGCCACGUGAGUGAUGACGGCCUUCGGGUUGUAAAGCUCUGUCUUCAGGGACGAUAAUGACGGUACCUGAGGAGGAAGCCCCGGCUAACUACGUGCCAGCCGCCGCGGUAAGAC